GUACAUGCCUAUAGCAUAGCUCUAAUGCACUGAAUCCCCUUAGAACUCCGUAAUUAAUAACACUAGGGCUAGUGUAGUAUUGGGAUGGGUGAUCGCUUGGGAAUUCCUAAUGUUUUAGAUG
rfam:Picea glauca, whole genome shotgun sequence.